UCUGCGUUAGCGAUUGCAGCGGCAUCCUUUUUUAGGCGGCCCAGCCGGCUGAAAAAGAUACAGCGGAAAGCGCGACCCGUU
rnacentral:sRNA from 1 species